rnacentral:lncRNA from 1 species
GGAAUUUUUAAAGCUGUCCAUGUGAUUCCACUCUGCAGUCCCAGCUCAGAAUUCUGCUCCAGGAUCUCUGCAGACCUUGGGAAGAAGGGCUGAAGGAAGCCUUGCCCAGCAUUGUGCUCUGGGGGCCAGUGACCGGGCAGCACGUCUGGGGGCUCACCUCCAUCCCCCCUCACCUAACAACACUCUGUGCCGGGGUGCCUGGCCCACAUCUACAAAUGGGUCCACAGAGCAUGCCCCAGGAAACAGCAGUUGCUUCAGCUUGGGUGCUGAGUGAAGAGUCCUGUGAAGCCAACUGGAAGUCUCUCCACAGCCUGGAGCAGAACUGCAGCUCACCCAUCUGCCCUCAUGCACGUGACCAAGAGGUGAUGCUGAAGCUGCAGCUCUGGAGACCUCACUCGGAGAACCACCGCCCUACAGGAAGCAAAGCCCAGAGAAUUCUUCCUGCUCUGUACUGGCUGAUCAGUGGAAAGGCCUGAAGGUCCUUACACAGCUGUUGCCAAAGAAUGAUUUGUGAAGGCAUCAGGAGGAGGCAGUACUCACCAGAAGUGCUCUGAUGAUCUCUUCUUGGGACCUGGAAACUCUGGGAAGGUAGGAGAGUACCUCACUCAUGGGGCUGUGCCAGCAUCCCCAGGGUGCUUGCUAUUUUGGUAUGAGUUUUAUAGGGACCAUUUAUGAAGAUUUUUCUCUCUGACAUUUAGCCAUGCUGUUUUAUAGCCAUGAAAAAGGAAAGUGAUUUUAAUAAGUUAUGGGAAAAUUAUAGCACAGCGCUUUACAUUCACUCAACACACACUGCUGAAUGAAUUAAUACAUGAGAAUGCCCCUUCCCCACAAUACAGCCUAAGAAACAGAAUUUGAAAACUGUAAGAAACCUUAAAGAUCACCUGUCUUGGCAUCCCAUGGCACCCACACAUACCCAGUUUUACAG